GUCCUCGUGGCGCAAUGGUUUAGCGCUAGGAAGUCCUUUUUGGAAAAUGCAGGUUCGAAUCCUGCCGGGAACA
rfam:Gaeumannomyces graminis var. tritici R3-111a-1 unplaced genomic scaffold supercont2.2, whole genome shotgun sequence.